CCUACGGGCGGCAGCAGUGAGGAAUAUUGGGCAAUGGGGGCAACCCUGACCCAGCCAUGCCGCGUGAGUGAAGAAGGUCUUCGGAUUGUAAAGCUCUUUCGGACGUGACGAUGAUGACGGUAGCGUCUAAAGAAGCACCGGCAAACUUCGUGCCAGCAGCCGCGGUAAUACGAAGGGUGCGAGCGUUGUUCGGAAUUACUGGGCGUAAAGGGAGUGUAGGCGGAUAUGUAAGAUAGCGGUGAAAUGCCGGGGCUCAACCCCGGAACUGCCAUUAUGACUAUGUAUCUAGAGUAAUGGAGAGGAUAGCGGAAUACCCAGUGUAGAGGUGAAAUGCAUAGAUAUCACGCAGAACUCCGAUUGCGAAGGCAGCAUACCGGCGCCCGACUGACGCUGAGGCACGAAAGCGUGGGGAUCGAACAGGAUUAGAUACCCGGGUAGUC
rnacentral:rRNA from 1 species